GACGAACGCUGGCGGCGUGCUUAACACAUGCAAGUCGAACGGAAAGGCCCUGCUUUUGUGGGGUGCUCGAGUGGCGAACGGGUGAGUAACACGUGAGUAACCUGCCCUUGACUUUGGUAUAACUUCAGGAAACUGGGGCUAAUACCGGAUAGGAGCUCCUGCUGCAUGGUGGGGGUUGGAAAGUUUCGGCGGUUGGGGAUGGACUCGCGGCUUAUCAGCUUGUUGGUGGGGUAGUGGCUUACCAAGGCUUUGACGGGUAGCCGGCCUGAGAGGGUGACCGGCCACAAUGGGACUAAGAUACGGCCCAGACUCCUACGGGAGGCAGCAGUGGGGAAUAUUGCACAAUGGGCGGAAGACUGAUGAAGCAACGCCGCGUGCGGGAUGACGGCCUUCGGGUUGUAAAAAGCUUUCGCCUGUGACGAAGCGUGAGUGACGGUAAUGGGUAAAGAAGCACCGGCUAACUACGUG
rnacentral:rRNA from 1 species